UUUUUUUUUUUUUUAGGGCCACUCCUGUGGCAUGUGGAAGUUCCCAGGCUAGGAGUCCAAUCAGAGCUUCAGCUGCCAGGCUACACCACAGCCACAGCAACGCCAGAUCUGAGGCACAUCUGUGACCUGCACUACAGCUCACAACAACCAACACCAGAUCCUUAACCCACUGAGUGAAGCCAGGAAUCAAACCCACAUCCCUAUGGACAGACACUAGUUGGGUUCAUUACCUCUGAGCCACAAUGGGAACUCUCUAUAUUUGGAAUCUUUAAAAAAAAAAAGUUGAACUCAGAGAAACAGAGGGUAGAAUAGUGGUUGCCAGGGGCUGGGGUAUGGGAGAAAUAGGGAGAGGCUGAUAAAAGGGUACAAACUUUCAGUACCUGGAAAGGUCUGAGUAUCUAAUAUAAAACAUGGUAACUAUCUAUAGUUGAUAAUACUGUAUUGUAUAAAUGAAAUUAGUUAAGAGAGAAAAAUCUCACCAAAGGGAAAAAAAAAAAAGAAAAAAGAAAAAAGGCAAAAAUAUAAGGUGACAGAUAUGUUCAUCAACUCAGUGGUGGGAAUCCAUCACACUGUAUCUGUGUAAGUUGGUUCCCAAACUUAGGAGCUUCCCCCUCCCUCCCAGCAGAGGAUAAGACCAGAGAAAGAGAAAGGCCCCUCCCAGAUUGCUAAGUAGUGGGAUUUUGUUGUUGUUGUUGUUUGUUUGUUUUGCUUUUUAGGGCUGCAGCUGCAGCAUAUGGAACUUGGCAGGCUAGGGAUCGAGCUGGCGGUACAGCUGCUGGCCUCCACCUCAGCCACAGCAACACCAGAUCCGAGCCACAUCUGAGGACUACACCACAGCUCAAGCAAUGUCAUAUCUUCAACCCACAGAGCAGGGCCAGGGAUCCAACCUGCAUCCUCCUGGAUACUAGUCAGACUUGUUACUGCUGAGCCACAGUGGGAACGCCGGUAAGCGGUGGUUUUAACAAGCAAGAGAAUUUAUGUAUAGGACUUGUGUUGAGCAGCUUCAAGAUGAGCAGAUCGCCACAUCUGCUUAGCAGAAUCUUAAAAUUUAUUUAGAGGCCUUAAUGGGGGUUCAGUCACAUACACAGUUCAGAUGAUCUCAACAACACCUUGCUUUCUCAAGGCUGUGUCCUCGAAAAUGAUUUCUACUGUGGCAAGAGUGGGUGAACGGACAUUUCAAGGACGCAGGAGCUGUCCUGGUCCAGCUCACAGGUAAGCCAGCUGUCACACCUGAUGACCUCCUCCAACAGUGUAUCAAAUCAUCACAUUGUGUAUCUUAAACAUAUUACAAGUUUGUCAAUUAUACCUCCACAAAGCUCAAAAAGAAAACAUUUAUUGACUGAGCUUCUUUCUUAUGCAAGGCAUUGAAGACAUACAUGAAAAUUUUAAAACCAAAACUUGCUCUUAAGAAAAUGUCUAUCUAGGAGCUCUUGCUGUGGUGCAGCGGGUUAAGAAUCCGACUGCAGUGGCUUGGGUCACUGUGGAGAUGUGGGUUCCAUCCCUGGUUAAUCACAGUGGGUUAAGGGAUCCGGUGUUGCCGCAACAGGUGGGGCUCAGAUUCAAUCCCUGGCCCAGGAACCUCCACAUGCUGCUGGGUGGGUAUGGCCAUAAAAGUAAAAAUUAAAUUAAAAAAAAGAAAAUUUCUAUCCAAAUAAAAAACAGCCAAUGAACUGUUAUAAUUCCAGAUUGAAAAUAAUACAAAACAAAAAUGUAAUAAUAAAGUACUAUAAUGAUUCAGAAGGGAGAGAGAUUAUUUUUGCUGGGCUUAUCAGGGAAGAUUUUGUGAAGGAAAUGACAUCUAAACGGAAUUUUGAAGGCAAGACAAAAUUUGGAAAUUUAAAUCAUGGAGGAACAAAAAGCAUUCCAGCAGAGGCAAGAACUUGAAUAAAGCAGAAAAUAAUUCUUAAAAUGCUGUUAAAUGGGAGGAUAACAAGUAGUUUAGUUUCAUGCCAAUUUCAUGAAAAAGAGACAGCAAUAAAGUUGGAAGACUGUGGAAGGCCCAGAGAUGCCAGGAUAAGGAUUUUGAAUGGAUGGAGCUUCUUGAAGAUAUUUUGAACAGGAAUAUGGCAUAAGCAAAUCCUUUGGGAUGACUGAUCGGGCAGCCACGGCGCAUACAGAUGUGUUAGGGAGAAAAGAAUCAACUGAAAUGCAUUGAGUAAGCAGUCAUGCGGGGCCAGAAUAAAGCAAUGAGAAUGGAAACAGAAGGAGGGGAGGGAGGGGGGGCGAGACCUAGAAAAGCAGAAUGGAUGAGAGCUGGCAUCAAUGGGAGCAUGAGAGAAGUAAACGGGCUCAGGAGUUUUAGAGCCCUUGUGAUUAGAAACACUGUGACUUUGAAAGAAGACAGAGAGGAGCUGAGGUGUGAUUUCAUCAGGAAGCCCCUGCCAUGAAGAAGUGGUGCCCCUGAUAACCACUCCCAGGCCACAGAGAGUGUUAUCUGUGUCAAGAGUGUUUUAGGAGUUCCCGUCGUGGCGCAGUGGUUAACAAAUCCGACUAGGAACCAUGAGGUUGCGGGUUCGGUCCCUGCCCUUGCUCAGUGGGUUAACGAUCCGGCGUUGCCCUGAGCUGUGGUGUAGGUUGCAGACGCGGCUGGGAUCCAGUGUUGCUGUGGCUCUGGCAUAGGCCGGUGGCUACAGCUCCGAUUCAACCCCUGGCCUGGGAACCUCCAU
rnacentral:lncRNA from 1 species